rnacentral:snRNA from 1 species
AUCACUUCUCUGCCUUUAUGGCUAAGAUCAAGCAUAGUAUCUGUUCUUAUCAGUUUAAUGACUGAUACGUCCUCUAUCCGAAGACAAUAUAUUAAAUGGAUUUUUGGAGCAGGGAGAUGGAAUAGGAGCUUGCUCCGUCCACUCCACGCAUCGACCUGGUGUUGCAGUACUGCCAGGAACGGUGCACCCCCU